GGAUUAGAUACCCUGGUAGUCCACGCAGUAAACUAUGAGUGCUAGGUAUCAGGAUGAUUGUAUCUUGGUGUCGUAGCUAACGCGUUAAGCACUCCGCCUGAGUAGUACGGCCGCAAGGUUAAAACUCAAAGGAAUUGACGGGGACCCGCACAAGCGGUGGAACAUGUGGUUUAAUUCGAUGCUACGCGAAAAACCUUACCAGGUCUUGACAUGUUAGUCGUAUGUUUAGGAAACUAAAUAGUCAGUUAGGCUGGACUAUCACAGGUGUUGCAUGGCUGUCGUCAGCUCGUGCCG
rnacentral:rRNA from 1 species